UACGAGGGCUGCAAGCGUUGCUCGGAAUUAUUGGGCGUAAAGGGUUGGUAGGUGGUCUUGUUUGUCUAAGGUGAAAUCCCAUGGCUUAACUGUGGAAGUGCCUUAGAAACGGCAAGACUAGAGUCCUAGAGGGGUUUGUGGAAUUCCCGGUGUAGCGGUGAAAUGCGUAGAGAUCGGGAGGAACACCAGCGGCGAAGGCGGCAAACUGGAUAGGCACUGACACUCAACAACGAAAGCGUGGGGAGCAAACAGG
rnacentral:rRNA from 1 species